CCUACGGGUGGCAGCAGUGGGGAAUAUUGCACAAUGGGGGAAACCCUGAUGCAGCGACGCCGCGUGAGUGAAGAAGUAUCUCGGUACGUAAAGCUCUAUCAGCAGGGAAGAAAAUGACGGUACCUGACUAAGAAGCCCCGGCUAACUACGUGCCAGCAGCCGCGGUAAUACGUAGGGGGGAAGCGUUAUCCGGAUUUACUGGGUGUAAAGGGAGCGUAGACGGCAGCACAAGUCUGGAGUGAAAUCCCGGGGCUUAACCCCGGAACUGCUUUGGAAACUGGGCGGUUGGAGUGCAGGAGGGGAGAGCGGAAUACCUAGUGUAGCGGUGAAAUGCGUAGAUAUUAGGAGGAACACCGGUGGCGAAGGAGGCUUACUGGACUGUAACUGACGUUGAGGCUCAAAAGCGUGGGGAGCAAACAGGAUCAGAUACCCCAGUAGUG
rnacentral:rRNA from 1 species